GCAGAUUGGGCGGAUCGAACGUGGGUCGGCAGAAAUAUCUCCCUCGUCACCCCCUUUUUCUCCCUCGUCUCUUCCCAUCCCGCUGCUCUUCUCCAUGCCGCCGCCGCUGCUUCCCCCUUCCUCUCGGCCGCCUGUCUCCCCCGCCUCCACCACCUUCUCCCCUCCUGCCUCCUCACCCAACCUGCGCAGCCAUACUAGCACAGCCAGACUAUGCGAUGUGGACGAGGAAGGGACAGAUCGGGAGGCGGGCAAGAGGAACCAGGCGGUUCUCCUUCCAUGGCCAGGCCUCGACCUGCCGCAUCUUCCUCCUCCCAGUCCGGCAGAGAGGAGUGGCGGAUCCGCCUCCUCAAGCGAGCAGGGGCGCACAGGGAUUUGAUCCAGGGAUCUCCUUGCGAGAGGCCGCCACAGUACCGACUCCAACCUACAGCCGGUUCCAACUCAGGUCUGAUGCAAUUUUGGAACUGAAUGGUUAUUCGGUCUGACUUGUUCAUGUAGUUCAUGGCACUAUGUCGGCAAGCUACAUCUUGUGAAGAUUUGGCUACCGCAUUAUAUGGUGGUGUUUCACUUCCCUCAGUCAAGGAUUCUCUGGAGUAUUGACAAUUGCAGGCUUCAUCAAUCAGAACAUGUGUAGAGGUGCCAUCCAUUGAUGUUUCCUUGGAGUACUGAUAAUUUAACUUGUUUCAUGAGAUAAACUUCCUUUCUCGUACGCUCCUUCUCUAUAUAACUGGGUUCAAAUACACAAUGAGGUUCAGAGAGUAGCACACUCCCUCACGGCUGGACAAGGCAGAGAUGUGUCGAGGAUCCGCACACACUUCAUCGUCAUCUUCUCCGCCUCAACUUCCUUGACAACACCUGGCCUCAAGCUCCAUCCAUAGCAGAUUGCCCCCAAGUAUCUAAGCCCCAUUACCCUUCUUCCUUCCUAUUAUUUAUCACAUGUAUCCAUGCCCAGGCUAAUGCACACCAGCAGCCUUGUAAAAUGUCUGGAUGAUCUUUGUUUUGUAGAAUGUGUGCUGCUAUAAUUAGGCCAUGUGAAAUUAUAGGUAUACUUUCUUGAGCUGCUGCAGAUCCUUUUAACAGCGAAGAUAUUUACGGCAGCCUACUCCAUGUAGAUUUUACAGCGAAAAACUGAAGAACUUGUGAUGGCCACAAAGAGACUGAAAUAUUUGCACGAAGCGAAGACAUCCACCCGGUAUACAUAUGGUCAGAAGCUAAGGGUUACUUCUUUUCAGCCGCUAUUGAGAUAUUUAUGUGCUCAUAGAUCACAACUCAUGAAGUUACUGCCUUUUGGUUUUGAUUUAUAAUUAUUAAAUUGGACAAUCUUUUGGUGGAUACAAUAGCCUGUUAUAUUUUCGUACUAGACCUUGAUGUAAACUAUUGUAGACGAAAUUGAAGUUUCUGCAAGGGCAUAUCACUAUGAAUGACAAUUACGAAAGUAAGCCUGGGGAUACAGAUCUUAUGUUUCUACUAAUUUUUUGUCUCGCUUGAUAUGUGCACGUUGUUUUAGUUAUCAGAAAUGUAACCUGGGCAUGUGAAAAUAAGCUAGCAUCCUUUUGGAAGUUUUUUUAAGAACAGGGGGGCUUCGAGGUGGUUUGAUUUUUUAACCAAUUAAUAAGAACUUCUGCGUAACCUUGGGUUAAUUACUGACCUCUUUCCUUCCCUCCUUCCCCAUCAUCAGUAAUUUAGUACAAUGUAUAUGCAAAUGAUUGAUGCAAUCUCAAUCUUCUUGUGCAAUGCAUGCAGGAUGACCCUUGUCCUGGACCCUCGGGCUGUGGUAAAAGAACCCUUUUGCUGGCAUUUUCUCUCAAGGCACUAUUGACCAUUCUGGGCUCCUCGCAAAUAUUGAAAGCAAAAGAAGAGUCACUAAGUCGAAAAGAUAUUAUGGACAUGAUAAAUAAAUGGUUUGUUGCUUGUGAUGAAGAGGCUUUGCUUGAAGAAUAUAACCAGGACUCGAAGAGGUAUAGUUCUGGAAGGGAUGCUCAUGUAAACCUUAAAAGAGCAGAAAAGGCAUGGAUUUUGGUCACUAAAAUUCCAAGUAGGUUUUAGUUCCAAUGCUGGAGAACUAUUCAUGUAUUUCAGUUGCAAGACCCAUAUUUUUUCCAGCUAUGGUGGGCAACCUAAUAAACCGUACCAUUUCUUGGGAAAAUGCAAGAAAUAAGCCAUUCCUAUAUGAUGGGGAUUCAUCUAUGAAGCCUGAGAAGUAGUCUAUUUCUAUCAUGUGGCAGAAGAAUCAAGCGUGAUAAUAGGGAGAAGGGUAACACUCUUCUCUCGAUGACCACAAGGUUCAUGCUUUUUGUUGAUUGAUUUUGCUGAAUCAAAAUGAUACUUCUCUUAUAUAUUUUGAAAGAAAUGUUUUCCUAAAUUUCGAUUAUUAAAAGGGUCCUGAGUAUUGCCAAUUUUUUUUUUCAAAUAACUAUGAGUUUGAAAUUGGAUCUUUGUUGUCUGGUACCUUUGCUCUUGUGCUAACUAAAGUGCUCUUCUGGUUGAUGUUAUCACCUAUGUAUAAGGUUAAUAAUUAUGAGGUAGAGGGUUGUGCUGCCAGUACAACACUGCCCCACUUUUCCUAUUCGCUGCCUCUAAGGGCAUCAUCAUCAGCCUUCCUUAACGCCUACAUAAAGCUCAUGUAGCUUUGGCUUUAUUUUGCUUUUAUGUUUUAUCCUAAAUAUAAUGAAAUCGUCUCACCCACUUAUGAUGUAUGGCUGAAUCAUACUCCAUGUAAUGGAUCUGAACUUCUAUAACAUAAUAAUUGUAUGUCUGCGUAUGACCGUAUAUAUAUUUGUAGGCUACUCGAUAAUGUAAUUAGUUCACUUGGUUAUAACCACAUAACUCUCGGUUCUAAUUGAGCUCUUGAACUAUUUGUUGUUAUGCAUAAGCAAAUUGUUCAGUUUGUUAAAAUUGUGUUAUAAUUCUCUUUUUAUUAUUGUAGUAGUCUUUUUCUGUACCAAUUUGUGACAUUACAAUGCUCCUCAUUUUUGCCGUGCCAUAAAACAAUAAAGAACUUGUCAAUGGACAACCUAUAGUCUACAAUUACAAUUCUUUAUGCACUUUGGAGCUAUUGGAUGUCCGAGUAUGUCACAAAGCAAUAUUAUCGAUGCAAAUAUUCACAGGCAUAGGGUCGGCAGGUGCCGAAUUCUCAUGUUGUUGCAAUUCUGAAAUAUGGAUGGUUCGCUUGAUUGCUUCCGAGGUGAACUAAAUUCUCUAUUGUUUCAGCCUUAAGAGUAGAUCCAGUUCCUCUCAUGUCUGAAUGAGCCGAAGGAUAAUUUCCUUCAUGUUGAAGUACCGUUGCAUUUGCUUCGCAGAAAAAAAAUUAGACACCGUGGUUGAAGGCCCAGUGUAUGAAUACUUCAUUUUGAACCAUUUGCAUUGCCAAACUGCACGUCUCAUUUUCUUUUGUGUAUGUUAGCAGUAUAUAUUUUUAGCUUGCACAUGGUCAACCUUGAAUGUCCACUGUUUCACAAGUUUACCAUAGGCAUAGGGUAUGGAGUAAGUGUUGAUUGACAAGUUCACAAAUAAACUAGCAAUAACUGGCAUGAGGCAGAAUUGUCCUGGACAUAUCCAGAAUUUUAGAAUUUUACUUCAACCUCGAAUGAUUUUCUUAUAUCUCCUUUUCUUUCAUGUAUAUGUGCAGUCUACAUAGAUCUUAUUAUUUCACAUGUUCUUAAGAUGAAGACACAUCUAGGGAAAGGUUUUGAUGUAAUGAAGUACAUUUAUUUGUGAUAGUUCUCCCAACCUGAUAAAAUCAGAAUAUUUGUCCUUGCUUUUUUACUUUUCACAUUGUUAUGUUUCACGUUGUUGUCCAAAGGGAUGUGCCUUAUUGUCCAAAUUUUCUUAUAUAUCCUUGUAUCCAUCACUUCUCACUAAGAUCCGUAAAUGUGAUUGAUGAACAAGGUUAGAGAAAAAUUAGCUUGACAUUCUCGAGUUGUUGAACCAAGGAAUUUAUGCUAUGAACAAGUUUUAAAAAUAGUGCUGGUGAAAAGUGUUGUUCAAGAAAUAGCUUUAUGCCAUUUUUUAGCUUUUACUAAUUUUUUAUUAUGUUAGCUUUUAUUAAACUUUGUCUUAGUUGACUCCGUGUUCUUUGUAUGCUUAGGUUAGAAUCCCAACAAAGGUGCUUCUGGAUGAUAUGAUGUGGCAACUCCAGUUUCUAAAUGUAGUUUACUCAACCCGCAAAGAAAGAACGGUUGGCCUCGACGCAACAGUUGAGUUCUAUUCACUUGGUCACAAGCAUCACUUGGGUUUAGAUAUGAGCUCAAUGACAUGGAAGACAUAAACUACGACAAGGCACAACUAGCUCAACAAAAAUGCCAGACCCUAGAGCAUCAACAAAAAGAAAAGGAAAGAAUAAUCAACUAUUUUAGCAAUAGUUGUGCAAUAGCCUCAUUGGAGAUCGCAUGGCAGCAAAGGAACUUUACCGCAUAGAUACAAACUUCAUAGCUGGCUCAACAUCGAAAGAUAACAAUCUCAAUCAUGUUUAUCACAGGUAAAAUAUGUUGCUGGCCGUCUUAGCUGUACAACAACAGUCUGAAUAUGAUCUCUAGCAAACAAACCACUAUUAUUGGAGACUGACGAUGACAUCGAAGGAAUUUCUGAUCUAUCUGUCUACCAUGAAGAAUAGCAGCUAUGAAGAGUUGCCUCAGAGAAUCGUUCUAAAUGUCCAGCGAUAGAUCUAUCUAUCGUAUCUCUGCCUAUCCGCAUGCCUUGCGCAUAACUUGUAAAUGAUCGUUCGUCAGCUUCUUUGGAAACAUGUAUCAUCACGAACCAUGUAUCUAUCAUCAAUCCAUACUUAUUUUUAUAUGUUUCA